rnacentral:lncRNA from 1 species
UCAUAUGUUGGUUUAGGUGAACGAUGAGUUUUUAAUAAAAUAUCAUUAUAUUUCUCAUAUGAAUGAAAGUUAGUACAUUUUUUUUUUAAUUAUACAUAAUUUAUUUAUAUUUUCAAAAAAAUUAUAUGCAUUUAUAAAAAAACUAAAAUAUUUAUUUAUUAUUUUAUAUUAUAUAUGUAAAAAAAAGUAAAAUAAAAGUUAUGUAUGUUUUUAAUUAUAUGCACUAUGUACGCAAUGAAAGCGCGUCCAAAAAAUAUCCACAUCCGAUACGAAUCCGAUACGCAAAAGAUAGAAAAUAUAUUCAAAUUGACUUAUUAGGAUACACGAAAUAUGAUUAUACAUAUGAAAAUAAAUAAAAUAUUUUUAUAUAAUUAUUUUUCAUCAUA